GGAUGUGAGGGCAAUCUGGCUGCAACAUCUCUCAGCCCAUUGAUUGCCAAGGUUGAUUCUGCUCAUCUGGCUGGCUAAAAGGGUUUUGCCUUCCCGCCCCCCACCACUCUAUGUGUGUUCCUCCUGAAGCUGUACACUCAGAUGAAGAGAUCGACCAUCCCCAAUUGAGGAGGACUGGUCUUCAGUCAUAGGUAUAAGAUUAGCUGCACUCCCCUUCUUGAAUUCCAAACAGGUUUUCAAAAUAUUACUACUCAUUGACAAUGCACCUGGUCACCCAAGAGCUCUGAUGGAGAUGUAGAAGAAGAUUAAUGUUGUUGCCAUGCCUGCUAAAACAUCUAUUCUGUAGCCCAUGGAU
rfam:Chlorocebus sabaeus isolate 1994-021 chromosome 29, whole genome shotgun sequence.